AGUGAGGUUAGCUAUGAGGUUUCUUCUAAAUACCUUAACAAGGUGCAAUUCCUUAUCACUU
rnacentral:tRNA from 1 species